AUGAAAGAGAGACUGAGAAAGAGCAAUACAGACAAGGAGAAGCAGGACGCGAUUCGAAAGCAAAAUCACGCACCGGAAUAUGAUCCAAGCGUGCAAAUGUGAAUCGAGGAGUAAGCAGGAAACUCGUUAGUGUGUGCGAUUAGAGAUGGUAGAUCGUAGUCCGACCAGCAGAGAGACGAACACGAGACAAGGAUUAAACUGGUAACCGACCAACUGCCGUGCAUGCGGGGAUCCGCAAACGGGCGGUGUGGCAGCGUGGGGCGCGAGCGGCGUUCGGACGCGCCAGGGACUCCGAGGAAAGGCGUCAGGAGGAACGGCGAGGAAGGGAGACCCAGGCAGCCGGCGAGAACAAAGAACAGGUCGUUUCGGCUUCCGUUCUGCAUGACACGAUAAAGUUAUUACAGG